rnacentral:tRNA from 1 species
GCCUUCGUGGUGUAAUGGUCAGCACACUCGGCGCGUAUUCGAGAGGUCCGUGGUUCGAAUCCUGGCGAGGGCA